UCCACAAGGAGACUGCCUGUUACGCGAAUGCAGUAAGCCAAGGAUGACAUCUUCAUCCAUGAAAAGGUUUUCAUCCUGGAGGAGACUGUGCAGGAGGCAGAGGAGGAAGGAACGGUUAGUACAGCAUGCCAAACUGACCCCUGGGUGCCAGAGUGUUCCUGUGCUGCGGUGGAGAAGAGGUCCACCGGGACCAUCAUUAAAGAGCUCGGGGCCCAGCUCACAAUCAUCGCUCACAACCAUCAGUAUACAACCGAGUCCUGCCCCUAUAUGCCACAGAUGGAGCUGACGGAGAGCGAGAUCAGUGAAGACCAGAACUCGCUGUAUGAACCUGAGAGCUCAGAAUCACUAUCAUCACAGUGCGAACCAAGAUAUACUAUCGAUCACUUUGGGGGAGCGGGAUGGUGUUCUGAAAAUGGAGAGGAGCAGGCCAUUCAACAGCGAAUUCAAAGAUACACCCAUCCACAAAGGGAAUCAGAGUGGAAUUGUUUUUACACUGAUUUUUUUUACCUGUUUCAACAGACCUGCUACCUUGUCCCGGUCCUGCUGUUUCGACUCUCUCUCUCAA